rnacentral:rRNA from 1 species
GAUGAACGCUAGCGAUAGGCUUAACACAUGCAAGUCGAGGGGCAGCACAAGGUAGCUUGCUCUCUGGGUGGCGACCGGCGCACGGGUGCGUAACGCGUAUGCAACUUGCCCUAUACAGGAGGAUAACCCGUCGAAAGACGGACUAAUACUGCGUAUGCUCACAACUUGGCAUCAAGUGGUGAGGAAAGAAAUUCGGUAUAGGAUAGGCAUGCGUCCCAUUAGCUUGUUGGUGAGGUAACGGCUCACCAAGGCAACGAUGGGUAGGGGAACUGAGAGGUUUAUCCCCCACACUGGUACUGAGACACGGACCAGACUCCUACGGGAGGCAGCAGUGAGGAAUAUUGGUCAAUGGGCGCGAGCCUGAACCAGCCAAGUCGCGUGAAGGAGGACUGUCUUAUGGAUUGUAAACUUCUUUUAUACGGGAAUAACAAGAGUCACGUGUGACUCCCUGCAUGUACCGUAUGAAUAAGCAUCGGCUAACUCCGUG